ensembl:lncRNA
UCCUUAUUGGCUUCACGAGAGAGAGCGCGAGGUUGCCGCUCGACUAGGACCUACAUUGCUUUAAGUGGGAAACUUUUGGCGUCAGUACUCAGACGCGAAGGGCAUGAGAUGUUUAUCGCUAUGAAAUCACGUUCAAGAAGUCUCAUUCAGCGCACAUCGCGAUAUUUGCCAUCAGUUUACAUGUGCCACAGGUUGGCUGAAAAGACAUGAAGGAAGCAGUCAGCCCAGUCGUGUUUGUGGAGAGGUAUUCCUUCAGAAAUGGAGAAGACAGAAAGCUGUGGAGGCACACAUUUGCAGCAGAUUGUUUGCAGAUAACGCUGUACUUCUCCAUCAUGCACAAGGACUCACCUCUUUAACUCUUUAUCCCCCACACACACAGAAAUGGUCCCUGGAUCAGUGUUUAGACUUUGCAGUGGUUUGAUUUUUGCAGAAAAUGCAACUUUGUUUUAGUUAUAAGCUUAUAAUGAAUACAUUUUGACCUUCCAGCAGCCCAUAUACUGUAUACAGAACCAGUGAUGAAAACAAUAGUUGAAAAUAGUAUUUUCGUAUUGAUAAAGCAUUGUGUUCUCUUUUUCAAGCUUCAUACAGUAAACUUUACUUCUGGUGCUUUUAUCAUAAAAAAGCAUCAGUUCUCAUCAGGAGUUUUAGUAAAGGACAUAUUCAUGCACAGCCAUCCCCUAGUUCCAGUCAUGAAGUGAAUGAUGUUAUUGUCAGAGUUAUAUUUCUGCAUUUUUAUGUAGCAGGUGUUUGUUUUCCUGAACACUUUAUUUUUCUUCCAUUGUUCGGACAAUCAAUGUUUAUUUGAUGCUGUGCUGAUAGAGUUUUAUAGAUAAUAUUGCACACUUGAC